UGCCCUUCUCCACCCCAGUCUCCUCCCCAGUUCCGCACUCAAAACCGACUUAGAGCCGCGCUCUCUCCCUCAACUUUCUUUCUCUUCUGUAUUGAAAGAGAGGUGGAAAGAGGUGGGAGAGAGAAACUGGAGGGUUUUAGCAGGAAAGAGGCGUGGUCCUGAGCUUGGAUGGAGAGCUCUGCAUCUUUUAAGAACGCAUGGAAACCUUAAGGGAAAAAAUAAAAAAUAAAACUUGCUGGGCUGUGCCUAGGAAAGUUGAAGCUAUAGCAGUUCUAAUUAGGCAGCAUCCUUACGCUACUGGAAGUUCUCCAGAGAGAAUCAAGAUUGACUAAAAUACUCUCCACUCAGAGUGGGAACAGAAUUUCCCCCAGCUCCAAGUUAAUGAUGAUGGUUCUACCAAUCAUAUGACUGAAAUCUGCAAUUGAACAAGUUUCAAGACACUUGUGAAAGUCAUUGACUUCAAAGGCCUCUCUGGAUAUGGAAGAAGAUAAGAAUUGGACACACAGGGAUUAAAUAAAAUGAAGAUUAAAUAAAUCUGAAAGAAGACAGAUACUGAAAGACUCUUAGAAAAAGAUGUGCCAACAUCUAAAAGAAAAGGAGAAUGCUUUCUGUCCAGAGUGCUGCCAAAGUGUUGUGACUAGGAAAUAAAAUCUUAAUAUGCAGUGACAUGUUUAUUCUUCUACAUGUCUAUACUGUUGAAAUUAAUCAAAGGAACAAAAGUUCUUUAUAAAUAUUUUGGGAGUAUGUUUGGAAUGUUCUAUUUUUCUGUCCUUAUAAACAGAGCAUAAAAACAUUAGCCAAGUAGUUAACAUAAAUUCCAAGGUGGGUACAAGGUCCAAAAUGUUAAUGAAUCCUGGACCCUAAUUCCUUUCUUCUGUCAUUAUUGACACCAUUGUAGUGAGUUCCCCAGAAGAAAAAACCUUGGGGCUGUCAACCAAGUGGCUGGUCUUAGACAAUUUCCUGCUCAGUUGUAGUCUCACAAUAAGUAUUUGUGUCUCAAGGUCUCUCUGAAGAAUUUUGGAAUUGAUAGUGAGAUAGUGAGCUAUUGCACAGGAGGGACAUCAAAAAAAGAUACUGUGCUCUUUAUGCAAAGCAGAAAU